GACAGAGGUCCCGAGCGUUAGGCGGAAUCACUGGGCUUAAAGCGUGUGUAGGCGGAUGCCUAAGUACCUUGUGAAAUCCCACGGCUCAACCGUGGAACUGCUUGGUAUACUGGGUGUCUUGAGCCACUUAGGGGCUACCGGAACAAAUGGUGGAGCGGUGAAAUGCGUAGAUAUCAUUUGGAACGCCAAUGGUGAAAACAGGUAGCUGGGAGUGUGCUGACGCUGAGACACGAAAGCCAGGGGAGCAAACGGG
rnacentral:rRNA from 1 species